CACCACCAACAAUGUCAGCCUGGAAAUCCAACGCAGGAUUGCUCUUGCCAACAGGUGCUACUUCGGACUGAGUAGGCAAUAGAAAAGUAAAGUCCUCUUUUGACGAACAAAAGCCAAACUCUAUAAGUCGCUCAUAAUUCCCGUCCUGCUAUAUGGUGCAGAGGCUUGGACGAUGUCAACACUGAUGAGUCGACGUUGCGAGUUUUUGAGAGAAAAGUUCUGCGAAAGAUUUAUGGUCCUUUGCGCGUUGGCCACGGCGAAUAUCGCAUUCGAUGGAACGACGAGCUGUACGAGAUAUACGACGACAUUGACAUAGUUCAGCGAAUUAAAAGACAGCGGCUACGCUGGCUAGGUCAUGUUGUCCAAAUGGACGAAAACACUCCAGCUCUGAAAGUAUUCGACGCUGUACCCGCCGGGGGAAGCAGAGGAAGAGGAAGACCUCCACUCCGUUGGAAGGACCAAGUGGAAAAGGACCUGGCUACGCUUGGAAUAUCCAAUUGGCGCCACGUAGCGAAAAGGAGAAACGACUGGCGCGCUGUUGUUAACUCGGCUAUAAUCGCGUAAGCGGUGUCUACGCCAAUUAAGAAGAAGAAGUUUAUGGACCCGAUACAGUUUCCAUUUCCACCGAACAACGAUGGUUUCAACGUUUUCGUUCUGGUGUAGAGGUGGUCGAAGAUGCGCCACGCUCCGGAAGGCUUGUCGUCGAAAAUUGCUAUAAAAUCGUUGAAUUGGUCGAAAGAGACCGGCAUAGUAGAAAAAAAUAAAAUAAAAUAAAAAUAAAUAAAAUUCAAUAAAAAUA